rnacentral:RNase_P_RNA from 1 species
CGAGCUCGCCAGACAGUCGCCGCCGGUAUGACCGGGGGAGGAAAGUCCGGGCUCCGCAGGGCAAGGUGCCAGGUAACUCCUGGGCGGCGUGAGCCGACGGAAAGUGCAACAGAAAGCAGACCGCCUAAGUACCCGUGACCAGUUCGCGGGUGCCGGUAAGGGUGAAACGGUGCGGUAAGAGCGCACCGCGUGGCUGGCAACAGUCCACGGCGAUGGUAAACCCCACCUGGAGCAAGACCAAAUAGGAAUCCAAUGGCGUGGCCCGCGCUGGAUUCGGGUAGGUUGCUUGAGGCCUGUGGUGACGCAGGCCCUAGAUGAAUGACUGUCCACGACAGAACCCGGCUUAUCGGCGAGCUCGCCUU